AUUGAACGCUGGCGGAAUGCUUUACACAUGCAAGUCGAACGGCAGCACGGGGCAACCUGGUGGCGAGUGGCGAACGGGUGAGUAAUACAUCGGAACGUGCCCAAUCGUGGGGGAUAACGUAGCGAAAGUUACGCUAAUACCGCAUACGAUCUACGGAUGAAAGCGGGGGAUCGCAAGACCUCGCGCGAAUGGAGCGGCCGAUGUCAGAUUAGGUAGUUGGUGGGGUAAAGGCUCACCAAGCCAACGAUCUGUAGCUGGUCUGAGAGGACGACCAGCCACACUGGGACUGAGACACGGCCCAGACUCCUACGGGAGGCAGCAGUGUGGAAUUUUGGACAAUGAGCGCAAGCCUGAUCCAGCCAUUCCGCGUGCAGGAUGAAGGCCUUCGGGUUGUAAACUGCUUUUGUACGGAACGAAACGGUUCUCUCUAAUACAGGGGGCUAAUGACGGUACCGUAAGAAUAAGCACCGGCUAACUACGUGCCAGCCGCCGCUGUAAGAC
rnacentral:rRNA from 1 species